rnacentral:rRNA from 1 species
UACGUAGGGUGCAAGCGUUAUCCGGAAUUAUUGGGCGUAAAGAGCUCGUAGGCGGCUUGUCGCGUCGGAUGUGAAAGCCCGGGGCUUAACUCCGGGUCUGCAUUCGAUACGGGCAGGCUAGAGUUCGGUAGGGGAGAUCGGAAUUCCUGGUGUAGCGGUGAAAUGCGCAGAUAUCAGGAGGAACACCGGUGGCGAAGGCGGAUCUCUGGGCCGAUACUGACGCUGAGGAGCGAAAGCGUGGGGAGCAAACAGG